rnacentral:rRNA from 2 species
UACGGAGGGGGCUAGCGUUGUUCGGAAUUACUGGGCGUAAAGCGCACGUAGGCGGACUGUUUAGUCAGGGGUGAAAUCCCGAGGCUCAACCUCGGAAUUGCCUCUGAUACUGGCAGUCUCGAGUCCGGAAGAGGUGAGUGGAAUUCCGAGUGUAGAGGUGAAAUUCGUAGAUAUUCGGAGGAACACCAGUGGCGAAGGCGGCUCACUGGUCCGGUACUGACGCUGAGGUGCGAAAGCGUGGGGAGCAAACAGG